GACGAACGCUGGCGGCGUGCUUAACACAUGCGAGUCGAACGGAAAGGCCCCUUUGGGGGUACUCGAGUGGCGAACGGGUGAGUAACACGUGAGUAACCUGCCCUUGACUUCGGGAUAACUUCAGGAAACUGGGGCUAAUACCGGAUAGGAAUCCUUGCUGCAUGGUGGGGGUUGGAAAGCUUCGGCGGUUUUGGAUGGACUCGCGGCGUAUCAGCUUGUUGGUGGGGUAGUGGCUUACCAAGGCUUUGACGGGUAGCCGGCCUGAGAGGGCGACCGGCCACAUUGGGACUGAGAUACGGCCCAGACUCCUACGGGAGGCAGCAGUGGGGAAUAUUGCACAAUGGGCGGAAGCCUGAUGCAGCAACGCCGCGUGCGGGAUGACGGCCUUCGGGUUGUAAACCGCUUUCAGCAGGGGCGAAGCUUGUGGUGACGGUACCUGCAGAAGAAGCACCGGCUAACUACGUG
rnacentral:rRNA from 1 species